rnacentral:tRNA from 1 species
CGGGCUUGUGGUUUAGUGGUAUAAUACUCCCUUAGCAUGGGAGUGGUCCAGGGUUCGAUUCCCUGCAAGUCCA